rnacentral:rRNA from 1 species
GACGAACGCUGGCGGCGUGCUUAACACAUGCAAGUCGAACGGAAAGGCCCUGCUUUUGUGGGGUGCUCGAGUGGCGAACGGGUGAGUAACACGUGAGUAACCUGCCCUUGACUUUGGGAUAACUUCAGGUAACUGGGGCUAAUACCGGAUAGGAGCUCCUGCUGCUUGGUGGGGGUUGGAACGUUUCGGCGGUUGGGGAUGGACUCGCGGCUUAUAAGCUUGUUGGUGGGGUAGUGGCUUACCAAGGCUUUGACGGGUAGCCGGCCUGAGAGGGUGAACGGACACAUUGGGAAGGAGAUACGGCCCAGACUCCAACGGGAGGCAGCAGGGGGGAAUAUUGCAAAAUGGGAGGAAGCCUGAGGCAGCAAAGCCGCGUGCGGGAUGACGGCCUUCGGGGUGUAAACAGAAUUAGCAUGUGACGAAGCGUGAGUGACGGUAAUGGGUAAAGAAGCACCGGCUAACUACGUG